AUUGAACGCUAGCGGCAUGCUUUACACAUGCAAGUCGAACGGAGUGGCGGACGGGUGAGUAAUAUAUGGGAAAGUGCCUAGUAGCGGGGGAUAACUACUCGAAAGAGUGGCUAAUACCGCCUACUAUCGGAGCGGCCGAUAUCGGAUUAGCUAGUUGGUGGUGUAAAGGCUCACCAAGGCAACGAGCCGGAGCUGGUCUGAGAGGACGACCAGCCACACUGGGACUGAGACACGGCCCAGACUCCUACGGGAGGCAGCAGGGGGGAAUAUUGGACAAUGGGGGAAACCCUGAUGCAGCCAUCCCGCGUGUAUGAUGAAGGCCUUCGGGUUGUAAAGUACUUUGGGCGGAGAAGCGGUAUCUGCAGAAUAAGCACCGGCUAACUACGUGCCAGCAGCCGCGGUAAUAC
rnacentral:rRNA from 1 species